rnacentral:rRNA from 1 species
CCUACGGUGGCUGCAGUGAGGAAUAUUGGUCAAUGGGCGUAAGCCUGAACCAGCCAAGUCGCGUGAGGGAUGAAGGUUCUAUGGAUCGUAAACCUCUUUUAUAAGGGAAUAAAGUGUGGGACGUGUCCUGUUUUGUAUGUACCUUAUGAAUAAGGAUCGGCUAACUCCGUGCCAGCAGCCGCGGUAAUACGGAGGAUCCGAGCGUUAUCCGGAUUUAUUGGGUUUAAAGGGUGCGUAGGCGGCUUGUUAAGUCAGCGGUGAAAGUCUGUGGCUCAACCGUAGAAUUGCCGUUGAAACUGGGAGUCUUGAGUAUGUUAGAGGCAGGCGGAAUGCGUGGUGUAGCGGUGAAAUGCUUAGAUAUCACGCAGAACCCCGAUUGCGAAGGCAGCCUGCCAAGCUAUAACUGACGCUGAUGCACGAAAGCGUGGGGAUCAAACAGGAUUAGAUACCCCUGUAGUC